UUUACUCUCUUAUCCGAUCUUUACAGUUUAUCUUUGGGCAAUUUAGUAGAUCUAAUCACUUCUUUUUCCUUCAAUUUUUCUUGAGGUUGUAGUGUUACUGAUCAUUUUUUAGCUUGCAUUCAUUGUUUCGUUAGAUCUUUUUGGGAAUGCGCGGAUCUACAGUAGAUGGAGUUGUAUUAACCCUACUUCAGAGUGUAGUGCUGUUCGAUUAAGUGCCAUUUAAGUAGCACUGUGUAGCUCUUCUCUGCAGUAGAAGUAGAAGCUCCCAUUUAUAGUUUUUUUUUUUUUUCCGAGCUCAGAAUCUCAUCGCAGCUUCUUGCUUCCACGGAUCUGCUGUAGAUGAAGUUAUAUUAGCCCUGCUGUAGAGUGUAGUGCUAUUCGAAGAAGUGCUUUUGGGAGAAGCAGUGUGUAGCUUCUCUCAGCAGCAGAAGUAGAAGCUCCAAUUUGGAGUUGUUUUCCGAGCUCAGAAUCUCAUUGCAGCUUCUUGCUUCCUGCACAACAGAAGCUUUAGGCCUUGUUUGGUGCCAUUGUUUGAUUUUUUUUUUUUUCUAACAUAUUUUAUAGUCACAUAGAAUUUGUGUUUACACCAAAAAAAGAAAAAGAAAAAGAAAAAAGAAAAGAAAGACGAGCAACACCAAACAAGGCUUAGAUUUUAUUUUAUUUUAGUUUAUAUGUUUAGAGCCACAUGCUCUACCAGAGUGGCUACAGAUAUGGAAACAGAGGUAGAAACAGCGCCGAACAUGCAAAUUCGGAGCCUCUUUCAUUUUUGUAACAGUUAGAGUUCUAUUAAUAGGCGGCAUCUGAAUUUCAAAGAAAUGGAGUCAUCCAUUACGGGCUCGUGUAGAAGAUCAAAUGAAGUAUUUAUAGUAUGAUGUCUAUUCUUGCCGUUUUGCUGGAAAACAUGGGCUGUUCCUGCAGCAGACCACACUCUUUCAACGAGGCUGAUACCGAAGAGAAUGUGCAGGCUGCAGAAAUUGAGCGCCGAAUUGCUCAGGAAACAAAGGCGGAGCAACACAUCCAUAAGCUUUUACUUCUUGAUAUAAAUUUUUUGAUACUCUAUUAUAAUGGAUAAGAGUUGGAUCAAAAGGAAUAGAUGGACAUAUGAAUACUACGAAGGAG